ACUUGAAGAUCCUUGAUGAUGAUAUUGAUAUGAGAGCUGGCAGUCUCUCCGGUACUAUAUUUAUAAACAAGAGAUCGGACUUGAAGAUCAUUGAUCCAAGAGACUGCCAGCUCUCAUAUCAAUAUCAUCAUCAAGGAUCUUCA
rnacentral:miRNA from 1 species